rnacentral:rRNA from 1 species
UACAGAGGGUGCAAGCGUUGUUCGGAAUUAUUGGGCGUAAAGAGUGUGUAGGUGGUGUCGUAAGUUUGGUGUGAAAUCUCCCGGCUUAACUGGGAGGGUGCGCCGAAGACUGCGAUGCUGGAGUAUGGGAGAGGAAAGCGGAAUUCCUGGUGUAGCGGUGAAAUGCGUAGAUAUCAGGAGGAACACCUGCGGUGUAGACGGCUUUCUGGACCAUUACUGACACUGAGACACGAAAGCGUGGGUAGCAAACAGG